AUCAGUCACAGAAUGUCAAGGCCAAACAGACCAGUCCUGCAAGGAGAAAAAGGCACAGAAGUGAAAUAAUUUGCCCAAGAUCGCACAGCGAGGCAGCGACAGUACCUCUGAAAGCAGCGCUCUGAGCUCUGCCUCGCCCGUCCACCUAGGACAGUGGGACAAGGAAUAAACCAUGGCUCCUGUUACAGGCAGAGAGGGAGGAAAGAGAGGCGGUGCCGGGUCUCAGCAGUCUAGAAAGGCCUCAUGGACAGAAUCGUGGGGAUCCACAUAUGUGUGUGGAAGGAAAACCAUGCAGAUUCCUGGCUCAUCUGUGGGGCAGGAUUUGCAGUGGCCUCCGAGGGUCCCUGGCUGUUACAGGAUCAGCUCCUGUCUGGGAUGACUCUGUGCUUUGCAGGUCAGUGCCCCUGGUGGCCAUCUCUUCCAUUUGAGGAUGAGUGGUGCAGCCUGAUUUGAAUGAAGGUCACCUUGGAGGCCCAUACGCACCCCAGUGAGGGAUGCUGGGCCGACCUGUGGAGCACGGAGGAGAGUCCUGUGGGGAGAGGCCUGGACAUGUGCUGUGAACUCAGAGUGGCUGGGAGCUGGUGGCUCGGCAAAAAGUGAACACACGUGGAGCACCUUCCUUUGGCCUCGCUGUACCUGGGAAGGGACAGGUCGGAGGUGGCAGUCCUCGGAGCUUCGGCUGGGCGGCUUUGCAGAGAGGCUGGGUGAGGGGGAAGAAGGCCUUCAGUUUCCGCUCUGAACUCUUUUCCUAACUCAUCCCAGGGCACACGUUGGGAUGAGAGCUGCAGUCCUAGUUCUUGGCCGGAGCCCCAGGGACUGUGUCAAGUGCUCAGGGGCUGAGCCUCAGCAGGAAGAGGGAGCGCAGGCCAGGGGCUUUCCAGUCAUGCCCUCCCCUUCCCCAGCCGGUCGGUCCCCACCCUCCCUUGGCCCUCUUCGCUCUGCUCUUAUCCCACAGGACUUUUAUUCUGAAAGAAGCGAGGCCCCUGGAGGUAGGGAGGGGACCAGAGGCUGCAGCUGGCCCUGGCCCUGAACAGGCCCUACCCUCCUGGGCUGUUUUCUAGGGCAGCAACUCUGGGACCCCCCGGGAGGGGCCGUGCUGUCUUCAGAUCUCCCCCUUAUCUUCUGUCCCCAGCCUUGCUGGACUUUAAGCAGAGGGUCCUAGAGGCCUGUUGCCUUUGCACCUACUGUCACCUUCAUGCCUCCAUGUCCCUCAUCCUUUCAGCCCUUGACCUUGUAGCCUCCCUCUGCUUCCCUUCUCAGUCUGUCCUGGCCUUCUUGCUGCCUGUCCCUCCCAAAGCAGACAUGGAGGCUAGGUCACUACCUAGAACUUCCCAGCCUCCCCAAGUCCCGGAUGAAGGUCUCCCUCUUCCCCAGCACGUAGGACGCAAGCACAUGACGGCCUGCGUUCGUUAGGUGUUGGUCAACAUGGCCUGCUGAGCUCUGCGCGGCUGGGACUGGGCUGUGGGCGGUUUUAUGAAGCCCAAGGGAUUUCUCAAGAAGAAGGACAAGGAAAUGGACAAAAAG